GAUGAACGCUGGCGGCGUGCCUAAUACAUGCAAGUAGAACGCUGAAGGAAGGAGCUUGCUCUUUCCGGAUGAGUUGCGAACGGGUGAGUAACGCGUAGGUAACCUGCCUGGUAGCGGGGGAUAACUAUUGGAAACGAUAGCUAAUACCGCAUAACAGUAGAUAUUGCAUGAUAUCUGCUUGAAAGGGGCAAUUGCUCCACUACCAGAUGGACCUGCGUUGUAUUAGCUAGUUGGUGAGGUAACGGCUCACCAAGGCGACGAUACAUAGCCGACCUGAGAGGGUGAUCGGCCACACUGGGACUGAGACACGGCCCAGACUCCUACGGGAGGCAGCAGUAGGGAAUCUUCGGCAAUGGACGGAAGUCUGACCGAGCAACGCCGCGUGAGCGAAGAAGGUUUUCGGAUCGUAAAGCCCUGUUGUAAGAGAAGAACGAGUGUGAGAGUGGAAAGUUCACACUGUGACGGUAUCUUACCAGAAAGGGACGGCUAACUACGUG
rnacentral:rRNA from 1 species